rnacentral:rRNA from 1 species
ACAUGGAUACCUGUAGUAAUUCUAGAGCUAAUACAUGCGUAAAGACCCAACUCGCGAGGAGAGGGUUGUAUUUAUUAGAUAAAAAACCAAUGCACCAGCAAUGGUGGUUUUGUGGUGAUUCAUAAUAACUGUUCGAAUCGCAUGACUUUUUGUCGGCGAUAGUUCAUUCAAAUUUCUGCCCUAUCAGCUUUCGAUGGUAAUGUAUUGGAUUACCAUGGCACUAACGGGUAACGGAGAAUUAGGGUUCGAUUCCGGAGAGGGAGCCUGAGAAACGGCUACCACAUCCAAGGAAGGCAGCAGGCGCGCAAAUUACCCAAUCCUGACACAGGGAGGUAGUGACGAAAAAUAACAAUAUCGGGCGUUCUUACGUCUGAUAAUUGGAAUGAGUACAAUUUAAAUCCCUUAACGAGGAUCAAUUGGAGGACAAGUCUGGUGCCAGCAGCCGCGGUAAUUCCAGCUCCAAUAGGAUAUAUCAAAGUUGUUGCAGUUAAAAAGCUCGUAGUUGAAGUUUUGGAGAGUAGUCUUUGUCUUUUCCGGCUUGGGGAGCAAUCCUCUUCGGGAAGGGCACUCUCUCCACAUUGUGGACCAUCCCUAUUUGUUUUGGCGAUUUUUUUCGCGAAAGCAGAAAGGGCCACUCCGUCACUGAGAGCAAAUUGGAGUGCUCAAAGCAGGCUUUACAGCUUUGAACAUAUUAGCUUGGAAUGACAAGAUACGACUCUGGUCGGUUUAUUUUGUUGGUUAUUUAGACUAGAGUAAUGAUUAACAGGAACAGUAGCGGGGGUACUCGUAUUGAAAGGUCAGAGGUGAAAUUCUUGGAUUCUUUCAAGACGAACGACUGCGAAAGCAUUUACCAAGGAUGUUUUCAUUAAUCAAGAACGAAAGCUUGGGGAUCGAAGAUGAUUAGAUACCAUCGUAGUCCAACGCCAUAAACGAUGCCGACUCGGGAUUGGUAGGUGUUCUUUUUAAAACAUGAACCCUAUCAGCACCGUAUGAGAAAUCAAAGUCUUUGGGUUCCGGGGGGAGUAUAGUCGCAAGGAAGAAACUUAAAGGAAUUGACGGAAGGGCACACCAGAGGUGGAGCCUGCGGUUUAAUUUGACCCAACACGGGGAAACUUACCAGGUCCAGACAUGAUGAGGAUUGACAGUUUGAAAGCACUUUCUUGAUUUCAUGGGUGGUGGUGCAUGGCCGUUCUUAGUUGGUGGAGUGAUUUGUCUGGUUGAUUCCGAUAACGAACGAGACGGGGGGAGUUUACUAGUUUUGCAUAAUCUAAUUCGCGUUAGAUGGAACUUCUUUACUCGACAACUCGGUUUUACCGAGAGGAAGCGCCCCGCAAUAACAGGUCUGUGAUGCCCUUAGAUGUUCUGGGCUACACGCGCGCUACAAUGACGAGUUCAACGAGUUUGUUUUAUUCCUUGUCCGGAAGGAUGUGGGUAAUCUUUUCAAUGCUCGUCGUGAUGGGGCUAGAUUUUUGCAAUUAUUAAUCUUCAACGAGGAAUCUCUAGUAUGUGCAGUUCAUCAGACUGCGCAGAAUGCGUCCCUGCCCUUUGUACACACCGCCCGUCGCACCUACCGAUUGGACGAUCCGGCAAGAUGUUUGGAGUGUUGUGUUUGUGAUGUAAAAGUCGUGAACAUGACGCAAAGCUCUUCAAACCUUAUCGUCUAGAGGAAGGUGAAGUCGUAACAAGGUC